rnacentral:other from 1 species
AGAUUCCUAAGAUGUACGUAGACAUUUACGUUUUGAGCCAACAGUUUUUGUAAGGGAGUUCGAGUUGAAAUUGUGAUUACAAGCCUUCAUUGUGUAGAGGAAGUAAAAUCAAUUUCGCAGGGCACCCACCUGCUUAGGAGCAGGUUCAAAACAAUAAAUAACACGGCAUCAUUGGGUUUCUU